UCCAAUCCAAGGUUGUUCAAAGAAUCACAUUACUCGUGUUCUCAAUACUUUACAACGCGAAAAAGACAAUCAGAAAUGAUAAAUAAAUCAAACUUACAAUUCUUUAUUUUGUAUCAAGAAAUCCUCGAGGGUCAGCUGGUGCAUAGUUUGAAACUCGAUGGAUUAAAUUAUCUCAUCAUCUACUUUGUCUUGAUCAACAGUUUGAAAAUCAAACCACAUCUUGGUUUUACAAAACUCCAUGAAGAAAUACCAAGCAAUGGCGAAAACAGUGAGCAUGGCACUAACUAUAUACACGGUCCUAUGGGCAACAAACAUAACAUAAACCAGAAAACAAGACGGAAUGAAGCACAUCACCACCAGUCCUGGCAUUGACAAUGGCACUCGAUAAGGCCUCUUAGCUUUAGGCAUUUUCCUCCUCAACCACAAAAACGAUGCAAACUCUAGCAGCAUCCCGAGACUAUACAAGAAAUUCACAGAUGACACAAUAUCUGUGAAUGUCAUGUAGGACACAACCAAUGCUACUAAUGUUGGUACAAGAAUCCCAACCCAAGGUGUGUUGAACCAUUCUGAUCUUACACCGAAAACCCGAGGCAACAACCCCAUCUCAGCCAUUCCAAGAAUUUGGUAAGCACAACUACUCAACUGAGCCUCAUACAAACCAAUCACAGACAGAACAAUCCCAAGUUCCAUCCAAUACUUCAACCAAUUCCCAGCAAUCAUAGAAGCCAAAUUAGCAAAAUAACCAUCAGUCCACUCACCUUGUUCCAAAGGGACAGCACCACUAGUACCCAAAAGCGGCAACACGUAACUAAUACAUGUAACAAUCCCAGCUGAAAAAAGUGCUUUAGGAAAUGUCUUUUGAGGUUGUUCAACUUCACCAGCUAAAGUACUAGCAUUAUCCCAAAAAUUCAAGUUCCAAAAAAGGGUAUUAAAGAACAAGUUCCAAUCUUUUUUAACACCCUUUUGGCCUAAACUCAACCAUCUACUAGGAUCAAUCUUUGGUAUUGAAAACAAUGUAAUUAACCAAAAGGGGCAAAGGGAAAGUACACCAAGAACAACAGCAGUGUAACCAACUAUAGACAAACCUAAGUAAUUCAAGAAUGACAAGAACAUAGAUAUGAAGAAAAUAGCAAUAUAUCUAGGUAAACCAGAAUCAAGAAUUGGGUAAAUCAAUUUAAUGUAAUCUAAACAAAGAACAGGGUAGGAAGCUAAGUUACAAACAGCACUAAGUAAUUUCCAAGAACCCAUUAAAGAACCCCAAAAGGGUCCAAAAGCUUUAUCAGCCCAAAUGACAAACCCUCCAUUACCUGGAAAAGUAGUGGCAAGUUCAGCUGUUACAAGAGCUUCAGGAACACUCCAUAUAAAUGGGAAAAUCAGAAACCCAAGAAUUGCUAGAAGAGGUCCAGCUGCCCCAAUUGCUGCUUCUGCACCAUAAGGUCCACCAGAUACCUCAAAAAAGAUUAUGAAAAUAAGUGGAACAAGAGCUAAUUUCUUGGAGUUUUUAGUGGGGGUGGGGUUGGGGGUAGUGGGUUUUUCUUCAUUUUCAAGAAGAUGUUGAGAUGAACAAGGAAUUUCAGUAGCUGUCAUGGUGUAAUUGCAAAGAAAAUGAGGAAAAAAGCUUUCUUUUUUUUGCCUCUUUUCAAAGAAGGGAAAGUGUUGGACUUUUUUUGUUUUUGUUUUGAAGAUCUUAGAUGCAAAGUUUGGUUACAUUUAUUAUUGUGAUCCAAAACUUUCUCUUUUUUAUUUUUGUUUUUCUUCUAUUCAAUUUUAAUAAUAGAUUGUCUUUCUUAUAAAAUAUGUCAUCUUUAAUUAUUAUAAGCAUUUUAUUCAUGGCCAAAAUGAUAUAUAAUAUAUCUCUUGUGAUAUCUAAUAUAAUACUCAAAAUCUUUUAUCGAAUCAAAGAUAAUAUCAAUUUUUUUUUGAAUUAGUCUCUUCACCUAUCGACAUACAACUCUUAAUAAGGUUAAUAGAUUUAGGCUUUUUUUCUCUCGACUUCUCAAAGUCAUAGAUUCAAUAGUGUCUUCUUAAAUGAGACAUUUCAUAUGAAUUUAGAUUAAUGAUUCGUAAAGAAAAUAUUAAAGAAAUAAAUUUAAUACUACAAAAGAAUCAUUUUUUCAAUCUCUCUUAAGUUAUAUUUUUCUAACUUUAGUUUCCGACUUAACAACUUCACUAAUUUUGGUAAUAUGUCGCCUACCUCUCACUAAUAUGGAUAACGGGCAACUUUGUCAAUCAAAUCAAUAAUUGCUUCAACUUGAAUAUGAAAUCGCUUUUAUUAAGAAGCAUUUACCUUUCAAAACGAGACUUUUUGACACAAAAGGUUCAAAUAUGAAUAUCAAGCACUGACUCUAAACCAAAAAAAUCUCAAAAUAAAAGAAGAAAGAGAAAAGGUUGAACAAGUAAAUUCACACAAGCUUCAUCACUAUUGUGUAGUUCCAUUUGGUUGGAGCAAAGUUUAGCACAACACACAGCCAAAAAGGGGAAAUUUCUCCUCUCAAGAACAUGUUGUUUUUGCAGAAUUGGGGCUAUCCAUCUACUGUUUCUUUACAAAACCCUUCAAUUUACAAAAACACAACAACCAAAAUCCUAGUAUUUCCCUGUCUUGGAAAAAAUGGUAGAUGUUUUUCUUACUCUUCUUUGACCAGUAAACCUUUGCCUAAGUUGUUGUGUCUUCAUGGGUUUGGUGUAGAAGACAUUACUGCUGUUGUCCAUAACAAGGUUAGUCACUCUACUUCAUAGGUUUGCUAAAAAGUUGCAAUCUUUUUUCAAUUCUUGAUGUUUCUAAGGUUCUUUUGUGUAAAGAUUGUGUUUUUAUGUAUCAAUUGGGGUAAAGUUCAGUUGGUUUGUCAUUGUUUAUGGUGAUAGUUUGAGGGUCAGUUUCAGAUAGAUGAUUAAAUUAACUUGCAAUUUGUUUGAAUGGUUGUUACUUAUAAUGUGUGUACACUUGUCAAUUAGAUCCCAAUUGGUUGUGUUCUUUCCAUUUGUCCAAAAGCCUUGGGUGGAUAGACUUUUCUCGUUACGUUACAUGUGUUGGUGGGAGCUAGUAUGUACAAGUGGAAUUAGUUGAGGUGUGUGCGAGCUGGUUCAAACACAAGUGUUAAUAAAACAAGCAAAAACAGAAUCCCAAAUUGGUUGGAUAUACACUAUGUUGUAAAAGUUGGUUUCUUUCUGUAUCAAUUGAGCUAAAGUUUAGUUGGAUUGUUAUUGCAAAUGGUGAGACAUAAUGCUUCAAUUUACAAGAACUCAACAAGCAAAAUCCUAGUAUUUCCCUGUCUUGGAAAACAUGGUAGAUGUUUUUCUUACUCUUCUUUGACCUAUAAACUUUUGCUUAAGUUGUUGUGUCUUCAAUCUUCAUGUGUUUGAAAUAGAAGACUUUACUAACGUUAUUCGUAACAAGGUAAGUCACUCCACUUCAUAGCUUCUUAGGUUCCAAUUUUUGAAUUGGUUUGAUAUCCAUUAAGUUUGGUGAAAGUUGAACGAUGUCUCAUCUGAUUCUUGUUCCAGGCUUUUGUCUAAUUGGACUUAAUGUUUAUGUAAAGGUCAAGUUUGCAAAAUGAUCAUCAGAAGUAACACAAAACAAAAUAGUGCAAGAUGUCCAUUUAGUCUUUGUUUUUGGAUAGUUAAAUUAUGUCACCAUAAUGGCUAUGCGACAAUGUUUUGGAUGGGGAAAGGUGACAAAAGGCGAUAAGGGGCCAAACUAACAUCAUCUUUGUCGCCAUUGUCCCCUCACCAAAGCUAAUAGUCGAUGAAGGUUCGCCUUGCCUCACGCCAUUGGGGACCAGAUGAUUAUUUUUCACAACGGUGCUAUGCGAUCAGCUCAGAUGUCAAGCAAGAACUCUCUGAUGUUUCUCUUUAAUUACUGUGUUAGGAACUCUGUACGAGCUCUACUUAUUUGGUACCUAUUCCAGAAAAUGGCUCGACGUCUCUCAAAUUGAAACAUCGAUUUCAUUAAUAUGUAGACAUAUGUCUCAGAAAUCAGAUUGUUGUAUGAUGGUAUGCCUUUAGAUGUUAUUUAUUUGUUUGAUCCAUCCCACAGGUUUUGGUUGCAGCAGCUGUAUCUGCAGCAGUUGGUCAGCUAAUGAAGCCUUUUACUUCAUCUCUAUUGUAUGGCAAUGAGUUCAAUUUCAAGACUGCCUUUCAGGCUGGGGGUUUCCCUUCGACACACUCAUCUGUAAGAUUUUUAUCUUUCUAUCUUUGUGCAACCUUGUAUAACUUCACCUAUCAUUUACCCAUCUGCUUUCUAAGCCAAUGUUUUACGAUAAACUGAUCAACGUUUCAAUCCCAGAUUAGUCUAUGAUAAAAGAAAAUUUAGUUAUUCACAAAGUAGCAGCUUUAUUGCCUUUUCGUUUCUGCUAUGUUGCUCGGACUCUCCAACAAUGUUGCCGCACUCAUGUCGGAUCCUCCAAAUAUGCACUACUUUUGGAGGAUCCAACACAGACCUGGCAACAUUUUUGAAGAGUCUGAGCAGCAUGCCAUUUCUGUCUAGUAUCUCAUUUAAUUUCAUCUACUUACAAAUGACAGGCAGUAGUCGCCACAGCCACUGCCCUUGGCUUGGAAAGGUAUUUACUCCUUUUCUAUUUUCCUCAAAAGGAAGUUACGCGUGAAUUAGAGCUUUUGAGAAAACAUUUAGUGUUGCAAUCAAUUCUCUUUUCUUGGCUAGUUUCUGUUUUCUAGCUAUGAGUGACAUGCUCUUAGUGCCGUAACUGCAGGGGGUUUUCUGAUUCGAUUUUUGGUUUAGCAGUGGUUUACGCAGGCCUUGUGAUGUAUGAUGCACAGGUAUGCAACAAAAUUUUAGUGUUUUCAGUCAUUUACCUAGUUAAACAGAUGUGAACCUAUUAUCUUUUCAAACAAAGGCUAUACGAGUUGAGCUAAGUUUCUCUUUGUGCUAUUAUGUUGUUGAAUUCGGACUCUAAAAUGUUGUCAUACCCAUGUCUGAUCUUUAAAAUGCACUACCUUUGGAGAUUCAUACGCACCCGACAAUAUUAUCCAAGAGUCCAAGCAACAUAGCGUAAAAGUGUAAAUUUUCCAGAAAAUGCAAAGCCUAAAAUAAUAGGCACCAUACCAUCAUAUCUACCGUAGUAUAGAUUCGACUAUAUGUAUUAUCUGAUUCUUGUAAGGUAUAUAUGGUUCGUGCUAUUCUUAAGUUUAUCGGAUCACAUCAGCCUUGGCCUGGAUCAUCACGGGGAUGAUACAAAUCCAACUGCUUGAACAUUUUGUUUCAUUUUCAGCUCCUACUCAUGUUUAGACACUAUCUUACAUUCAAAACUUGAACCAAAUCCUUCACGCUUCACCAGAUCGAUGUCCCUGCUAAUUAAUAUUCUAGGCCAAGUUUAAUCUAUUACACUCAGACUCUCCAAAAAAGAUGUUGCAUCUGUGUGGAUCCUUCAAAAAUACACUAUUUUGUAGGAUAUGACAUGCACCUUGCAACAUUUUUAAUAGUCCGAUCAACAUAAGGUUCAAUUUCAACUGAAAAAUUGCAUUGGUAAAAAAAUUUUGUUCUUCCUUUUUCUUGCUUUAUACACCUGGUUUGUCUCACCGUCAACAUGUUGCUUCUGUAGGGAGUCCGAAGGGAAGUAGGCAUUCAUGCAAAAGCGUUCAAUAAAGCUUUGUUCAGAAAUCAAAUAAACUCAGUUCCGUCUACUAGCGAACUUGAUGUUUUGACUGAUUCUAUACAAGAGAAAUUAUCCUCAGAGGCAGAGAACUCUGAUCCUCAAAUAUCAGAGGAAUCAAGUUCAUUUCAACCAAGAUCAAAGAAUGCUACUUUAUUGCUUAAACCCGAUGAGAGAAGAGCCCCAUCGUCUAGUUUUGCUCCGUUGAAAGAACAGGUUGGUCAUACAGAGGUCGAAGUCAUAGCUGGUGCAUUUCUCGGAUUCUUUGUAAGCUUAGCGGUAAGUUUAGCAUGACCCCUCAGUACUCAGUAGUCCUCAUUGUUUACUUCGCCUUAUUUUUUGGUCUAUGAGAUACCACAGAAAAACUGUAUACAACAUAUUUACGAUGCAAAAUGCAACUAAAAUCCCUCUAUAAAUUAAAAUAUUAAGAAAAAAUUUACUAGCUUUGCCUUCAUGUGACCUUUGUAUGCAAUUCUUGGGUGAAUCGUGCUUUUGUAACCUGAUGUUGAUCUUGAUAGUAGCACUAGAUGGACGGUUUGAACUGACUUCAGUGCAGAAAGCACAAUCCACCUAUUGACUUACCUGGACGGCAUCAAUGGGUGAUCAACAAGACCUAUGGCCUAGGUUGGUGAACUCCAUUACACUUGGGAGGGGUGCCAGCUCAAGUUGUCGAGCCUACAUCGAUACAUCAUAAUUUGUGGUAGUGGGAGUCUGCAUUCUCGCAGACCCUAUUCGAUACUGAAUCUAGAAAAGAAGAAAAUGUGCAUGUUCAUGCUGGUGCUAGUCUUGGUAUGUAUAACCCGAAGAGUUAAUUGUCAAAAAUAUAUAUGACCUAUCAUUUUUCAUGAGUUUCACACUCCAACUAUCGGUUAUUCUCUUCUCGUUUUCUUUUUUUUGUCUGAUCUAUCACCAUAUGUGCUACUAACUAUUAGUAACUGGGAUUAAAUAUUAAGUGGAUUUAGUUACUUGAAAAAUGAUUAGGCUACUAAUACAACAACUACAAUAACAUAUCCAUUGUAAUUCUAUAAAUGGAGUAUGGGAAGGUGUAAUGACCCUCUAGGUCAUUUGAGUAUUCGUGUGUCUUCCUUUUGUCGUUUAGAGCAUUCCAAUAGCAACCUCAAGUAUUUUGUGAAAUGUUGAGACUUACAGUUCGGUCACUUAUCCGUUUGUUUGGUUUUAUGCGAAUUUCUGUAUUUGUAAAAGUCUUGUACUCUUAUUUUGAUUAGAUGAUCGAUUACUGACUGAUGUUUUCAGGUCUUGGUGAUGUUGCAUUUCUGAUUAUCACCAUAUUCUUUGCUUUGUUAUAAGUUUUUUGCUUCUUAUUGUUGACUUUUGCUUGAUAGUCUGUUGCUUAUGGUUUCGAUCUAUGAGUUAGGCUUACCUACUAGUAGGAUGUAGUAGGUGUCAUCGUGAUCUAAGAAGUUAGGUCGUGACAAUCUGAUAGUUUGUUAGUAGAUCUUUACCCUUACCAAUUACCAUGUGUGAGGUAAAGAGGUUGUUUUCAAAAUACUAUCGGCUCACGUAAAAUAAUUCAAAUAGGUUUGAAAAAAGCUCAAGUAAUUACAUUAACAGUGUGAUUCCACAAUUAAUUCUUUGGAUUGUUUUUCCUCGAGUAAAUUAUCGAAAACAGUCUCUUUACCUCAAAGUUAGAGAUAAAAUUUGUGUAUAUUUUACCCUCCCCAAACUCCACUUUGUGAGAUUAUACUUAGAUACAUUAUUGUUGUUGCAGUGUAUAGUUGUUAAAUCCUAAAGUAUAACAUACAAAAGAAGAAAAUUGAUAAUGAAUAUGACAAAACAAAAACAUAUCUUUUACCUUCAAAUUCUUUGAGAGCUAAAAGUGUAUAUUCUUUUUCCAUAUAUGAAGUCUACAUCAAUUAAAAGUCUUCACAAAUCACAACUGAAUUUCCAUUCCAAAAGCAAUGGGAAAAAGGAAAAAAAAAACUAACUAGAAAAGACAAAAAAAAAUCCAUUCCCACUUGUCUAUAUAUAAAUUAUUCUAACAUAAAUAUCACCAUCAACCUAUAGUGUUCAACUUUAGCCAACUUCUUUUGACUUGCACAAAACUUCAUCAAAAAUACCAUCUUACCCCUUAAGUCAUCAACUAAGUUUGAUGCGAGAUUCGUGAAAAAGUGAUAGUUCAAGUGUGUUUUUCAUCACAAUCUGUUAUUCUUAAGUAACAAAGAUUAAACUAUUAGAGGAGAUGUGUGUAAGUUACAUACUUAAAAAUCAUUUUCCAACAAAGUUUGCAAUGGGGUGGAUGAGUUUUCUUUCGAGCCCUGAAUAUGAAAAAAAAAAAACUAUUCAAGAGCAAUUUCCCCUUGGCCUUACACAAUGCGAGUUAGGAUUAAUUAAGAAUCCAAUAUAAGUAUCGAACAUCAAUGAAAUACCAAAAGGAAGUAUAAAAGAACAAAAAGAAAAUUGAGAAAAUGAACAAGUCAAAGCUUGUGGUGGUUGUUAGGAGGACAUCCAAGCUUGUAAUUGUCCUCGAUCAUAUUGUGAUUGGAUGGAUAAGAUCUCUUUUUAGCUCUCUAUUCGGAAGCACUAUCCCCCUUAAAUAAGCCUUACACAAAUGCGAGUCCAGAUUAAUUAAGGACUGAAUACAGAUAUCGAACAUCGAUGGAGAACCAAAAGGAAGUACAAAAAGACAAAAGAAAAUUUUAGAGAAUGAAUAGGACAUUUUUGCAUUCAAUUCUUUCUCAAAAGAAGCAACAUCUUACCAAUAUAUGAAGUCAUAUCAUAUCUAUGAAAAUACAAAUUUAAAAAAAAAAAAAAAAAAAGAAGAUAAAAGUCAUACACCAACUACCUCCCUAUUGAUUACAUUUACUCAACAUAUGUAUCAUCUACCUUAUCAUUGAACUUCAACAACUUCUUUGACUUACAAAAAUUCAUCAAAAAGUACCAUCCAAUUCCUCCAAUAGUCAUCAAUCCACUAAUCAAAUACACAAGCUUUGUUGCUAUAGCCAUGAUGAAUACCAAAAAACCACAUGGAAUCAAACACAUAAUCACCAAUAGUGGCAAUCUCAUUGGUACUCUAUAAGGCCUUUUAAUCAAUGGAAACUUCCUCCUCAACCAAAGAAAUGAUGCAAACUCCAAAAGCAUACCUAAACUAUACAAGAAAUUUGCACUAGAAAUAAUAUCUUGAAAAUCCAUAUAACUCAUCCCAAGUGAUAUAGUUGUUGACAACACAAUCCCAACCCAAGGUGUAUUAAACCAUUUAGACCUUAGUCCAAAAAACUUAGGUAAAAAAGCAAUCUCAGCCAUACCCAAAAUUUGAAAUGCUGAACUACUCAAUUGAGCUUCAAACAAUCCAAUGGUAGACAACACAGCACCAAUCUCAAUCCAAAACUUCAACCACUUCCCUGAUAUCAUCUCCGCGGCGUUAGCCAUAAACCCUGUAUCCCAAUCGCGUUGAUCCACGUCUACCGCCCCCGUAACAGCCAUAAGUGGUAUAAUAUACCCUAAACAAGUGAACACUACACUAGAAAAAAGUGCUAAAGGAAAUGUCUUUCUUGGAUUUUCAACUUCACCAGCCAUAGUACUAACAUUAUCCCAAAAAUUCAAGUUCCAAAAAAG
rnacentral:lncRNA from 1 species